rnacentral:tRNA from 1 species
CGGGAUUUAGCGCAGUUUGGUAGCGCACAUGGUUUGGGACCAUGGGGCCGGGGGUUCGAAUCCCUCAAUCCCGACCA